CUGCAGCCAAGAAGAGUGCCUGACGAGCCCAUUUCUCCCUGGUAUUCUAGUGGUUAGGAUUUGGCUCUCUUUGGACUUCUGCAGAUGAGGAGGCUGCACAUUCUGGAAAGCAGCAGAGAAGGGACUACUGGCCUGUUGCUCCCGGAUACUCCAUGGCACUGAACUACUCAUCUUGGAAAUCUGGUUCACCUGCCUGCUCUUCGGAAAUAUCUCCUUGCCUCACCUGCCUGCCCUCCUGCCCUCACACUACCACGGAACCUUCAACGCUCAGGACAGCCGACACACACCACCAAACCCACCCGGACUGCACCUCUCCUUCAGUGCUUCCAUUUCCCACCUGCACAUCCAGCUCUGAUUGCUUCCUUGGACCUGUCACUCUGCUUUUUCUCCUCCCUCCAAGCCAAGUCCCCAUGCCCCGUUUAUCAAGCUUUAAGUCGAG